GGGCCUAUUGUAUAGUGGUAGAACGUAGCAUUCGCAUUGCUAAAACGGCGGUUCGAUUCCGCCUAGGUCCA
rnacentral:tRNA from 2 species